GCAUAUUUGCCACAAUUUUCAAUGCUACGGGGAAUUUUUUUUGUACAAAAGUCUAUGUACAACAGACGUUACAGGAAUCUAAGUUUUUAAAUGUAACAGAUAAUUCUAGACUAUCAGGAGACUCUAAAUGAGAUAAAAAUAUGAGUUACACCUAGAAGGCAACCAGGUAUCACCAGGUAUCAUCUUAUAUAUCUAACAGAGUUAUAUCUUUUUUGAAAAUGAAAGAUACAAGGCACAAGAAGAAAUGGUAUUUUCACAUGUUAAGAGACAUGAAAGUAAAUCUAGUGAUCAACCUGGAUUGCUGCUGUAGACUUCUGUGAAUGCACACAGGGAUCAUUAGGUAUAACCUUAAGUUAGGAGUCAGUCUGCUUGGAGUAAAUGAAGUCACGUGACCAGCGACUGCAGCUGAAUUUCACACUCUGUGCUACCCCCAGGUCACCUAUAAGAAGCCAGUCAGAAUCCCAGGCUUUGGUGGUGAGUAACCUCACUUAACAGUGGGUCUGUUACCUUGGUGAAAGGGGCUAUAAUAGCCUUCAUGAAGUGCAUACAUAAUUUUCAACCUCCAGAAAGAUUAAUUAAAUGAAAAUCAUGGUAUUAAUAUUAAAGCUGUUAGGAGGAAUGUGAACAUAUUCAGUAUUUUUAUAUACUUGUGAUGUUUAAUGUUACAUCUAAUUCAGAGGUUAUAAACUAAGCAACUGAUUUAGAACUGUGGCAAUAUUAGAACAGCUAAGAGAAUUUCAAGUUUAUCAUAUUUCUACAUUUAAACUAUUAAAUUUAUAAGAAUUAUUGUUAAUCCUUAAACUUUUAUCGUCAGAUCAGAUUAUCUGAUGUACUUUAAACAGAAAUCAAAUGUAUAAAAUGCAUAAAUCAUUGUAAAAUGUGAUGAAGAUGA
rnacentral:lncRNA from 1 species